UCUCUCUCUCUUCCUCCCGAUUUUCUCUCUCUCCCGCGUCGAUCUUCCCUCCUCCUCCGACUGCAAAUCGCGCAGCCACCGCCACAGGCCACGGCCAGCCCCGAGACCGGACCCAAAACAACCGGCCAGACCUCGCCGACGUUCCCCAGUCCACCUCCAGCCGCCAGCCGCAGCCUCGUCGCCGGAAAACAUGAAUUUCAGGCCGAUUUUCGUCUGAAAUUCCAGUCGCUCGUUCUCUCUCCUCCGAUCACUAUUUCAGACGGGUGAGGUGUUUCGACUACACGUACGCAGCAAGCAGGACCUUCACGUGGUCAGGCAGCGAGGGAAUACUUCCAGUAGUCGCUCCAGGAAGCGUGCGAGUGGUGUACGAAGCUCAAUAUGUGCAUCUUUCUAGUUAGGAACUGUGUAAUUUCUUCUACUCAACUGUUCUUGUAAUCUAAAUUCAGUAGAUGCUCUGUAUUGCCAUGGUAGAUUUUACUUGUGAGGCCGGAGGCCAUUCUAGUAUGACUUGUAGAUGUAUGAAAGCAUGCUGCUGGUUGGGAUUAUUAUUUUGUGUGUAUGUUGCAGGUUGAGUAAAUUUUGUUGGGAUUGCUUAAAUUACAGGGGAGACUCUGCCAAAUUUUUGGUAGAAAGUCUCGAUUUCUUAGUAGGUGGGCCCGACAUCGUGAUGAUGUCGGAUCAAAGACGGGAUUCGCCCCGAUUUUGGGGAAAUCUCGGGACUGGUCCUGUCAUUUGUCUCCUAGGUCUACUCUAAUCUCAACACCAUUUUUACUUUUAACAAUUAAGAUAUUAACGUGUAUAAUGAUACAUCAUUUGGCGAACAAAUUUGGUAAGGAAAUUAGGCGUCUCUAGUGUAACCUGUUAGCUAUUGUUAGCUAAGGGGAGUGUUAGCUAGCAGGCUACUGUUUGGCAUUGAUGAGGUUGACUGCUGCAUUAAUGAGGUUGUUGGCUUCAUUGAUGGGGUUGGCUGCAUUAAUGAGGAUGGCUUGACUUUGGGAAGCUGCUGCACUUUCCAGGAUUAGGGGCUGCCGCAAUCCAUCUACUUUGUAAUUAAUAUUGAGCUUGAAUAGCAAGCUAUAUACUUGUAUAUAUAUUCUGCUGUAGUUUACACACAAAAAAUCAAUGAAAAAGAGUAGUUAAAGA